AAACCAACAGGGAUUGCCUCAGUAACGGCGAGCGAAGCGGCAAAAGCUCAAAUUUGAAAUCUGGCGUCUUUAUUAGGCGUCCGAGUUGUAAUUUGAAGAAGGUAACUUUGGUAACGGUCUUUGCAUAUGUUCCUUGGAAUAGGACGUCAUAGAGGGUGAGAACCCCGUAUAUGGUGAAGUGCCCGUUGCUAUGUAAAGUGCUUUCUAAGAGUCGAGUUGUUUGGGAAUGCAGCUCUAAGUGGGUGGUAAAUUCCAUCUAAGGCUAAAUAUUGGCGAGAGACCGAUAGCGAACAAGUACAGUGAUGGAAAGAUGAAAAGAACUUUGAAAAGAGAGUGAAAAAGUACGUGAAAUUGUUGAAAGGGAAGGGCUUGAAAUCAGACUUGGCUUGUAGUGAUCAACUGUCUUUCGGGACUGUGCACUCGCUACUUGCUAGGCCAACAUCAGUUUUGGCGGUGGGAUAAUGACAGUUGAAUGUGACUCUGCUUCGGUGGAGUGUUAUAGCUUCUGUUGAUACCACCAGCUGGGACUGAGGACUGCGUCUUUGACUAGGAUGUUGGCGUAAUGAUUUUAAGCCAC
rnacentral:rRNA from 1 species